UUAUGAAUGGGGGUUGUCAAAAAUCAUGAAAUAAUUAAAUCAGGCCCAAACAACAAAAUGACUCGAAAUAUGAGUGUAAGUGCAAGAGAACCGGCUCAUUGUAAGAAAGCCCAAGAGUAAGCUAUGUGAGGUUGAUGGCGAUGCUUAAAAAGCAAUCGACUUACAAGGGUGUGGAAAACGGGCUCGAUAUUAAAUCGAGAAAAUAUGAUUUUAAUAGUUUUAAAAUGGUUUUGAAUGAAUGAUGAAAUUACAAGAAAAACAAAUUUGUAUUAUUAACAAAUGAAACUAUGAGUAUAAUAAAGGCAUAAACAUAAAAAGAAAAUGUUAAAAGAAAUAGAAUACUAAAGGAAAAUAAAAUGCUAAAAGAAAAAUAAAAUACUAAACAAAAAAAUGCUACACAUGAGUAUUGAACCCACUCCACUCAAGACUAUGGAAACCACCCCUCUCUCCACUAAACCACUUAUAAUUAGUUAACAUUUAAAUAACAACAUAAAUAUAUAAGUCAUACUAGAUUGGAACAAAAAAUGAAAAAGAAACUAAAAUA
rnacentral:lncRNA from 1 species